CCUGGGGCUUCAACGCCUCCCGCAGCCCGGCCCAGCUCCUCCUGAGUCCCGGGAUCUGGGGCUGAGGCCCCACUGCGAAAACCUCCAGAGCCCAGGAGAUGAGCGGUGGACGCUCGGGCCCGGAGCCCCUCGGUGCCCCGAGAUCGCGCUCCAGCCGCGGCCGUUAAGGGUUUUGAUCCGUUACCCAACGGCUGUCGAAAGAGGAGCACGACGUGAACUUCCACCGACAAUCGUUUAAAUACUGCAGGCGAAGGAUGGGUUCUUAUUGUUCUUUCGGGCAAACCGGCAGCUGAGUCCAGCUUGUGAACUUGAACUUGAACUUGCUGAAGAAGCUCCCGGCGGCCCUCUGCUGGCCGCCGCUUUUGCCAGAGGGAGAGGCUGGAGUCACCCUGUUGGGCCGCAUUUCUGGGGCUGGCACCUGUUGGGCUGCCCGGCCGCGCGUACCUGGUCCCAUCGGGGGCUUUGCCCGCUCCGCUGAUGACGAGGGUAGAAGGGAGGCCGCAGGAACACUCUGGGGGGACUGUGCCGGGCGGGCACCCCCCAGCUGCUCACCGUUGGGGUGCAGCGCCGAGGCUUGGUUGGGCUGCAAGGAGACCGACUGGGAUUCCCGGGCUGGUGGCCGGGGAGACGGGGUAGAGGUGAGAAGCAAGAGCCCAGGAGGCCUCAGGCCCCAGCGCUGUGGGGCUGCCGUUGUCCUUCUGGGUGGAGGUCUGGCCAAACCGGCUUUUGCCCCGAGUGAGGAAUUCCUGCUAUUUUUGGUGUUGGUGGAGAGGUCCCUGUUCACAGCGGGGGCGGGGUUCGUCCCCUCCAGGCUAGUAGGGAGCUGGCUGGUGCAUUGCUGUGUUGCUGCCCUUCUGCCCGGUCUCCUGAUCCUGUUCAGACUCUGGGUGGCUCCUUUGAGUCCUCUCAGGCUGUGAAAGAUGGGAAAGGCAGGUUGCUGAAACCACUGCUGCUCCGGGCUGGCAGAGACCCUGAGCUGUACCUCCUGGGAUGAAAGGAGAACCCAGGAGCAGGCGGGUGACCACGGCUUCCUCAUACUCCUCAGCAAGUCCUGGAUAUCCUCCUGUCUGUAACCCAUGGAUACCAUGAACUUAGUUUGCAGGGCGUCCUCCCAGUGGGAGAGUGGCUGCACACAGCGCUUAAGUUCUUCGCUUUCAUGACUCACAUUCAUCCAUGGACCCCUGACACAGUGUUCUGAAGGGUCUCUCUUGCAGCAACUGGCAAUGAGAAAUUUCUUCAGCAAGUUUUCACUCUCUGGGGACAUGGAGGAGGGAAUGGAAUACAUCCUGCUCAGUACCUGCUCUUAUAGCUCCUUGAAGUUCUGUCCAUCAAAAAAUAAGGAUCCAUUUACCAGUAUAUACAGGGUAACUCCCAGACGCCAUACAUUCACCAGCUCAUAUUUGUGGCCCUAGAAGAAUUCCAGGGCAGCCUAAGGGGACUGCCACAAAAGGUAUCCAGCUUGUUGUGAAAGGUGAAUUUAUUCCUGAACCCAAUCUGUGAUGUUCAUGUUAACAUGGACAAUACAUUUCUGGUGACAAUACACAAUAUCUGUGGACAAUGCACUUCUGGUAAGAGCUUGCAUAGCAGACACUUUUGAUGGAAUUUGCUUCAGGCCUCUUUCCUGCUGCUGUGAGCAGGUAUUCACAAACUUGUCGCUAGCGUGCUUUGUGAUGAGGCAGAGAUUCCUCACUAUUGAUCACAGCAAAUACUUCACUAUGUUGGGGUGAUCUGAGCCUUCAUGAUUCCUACUUUGUGGAUGGUGUCUGGAGGCUGGAGGAGAUCUGCUGAGUCUCAUCAAUGAACUUCAUGGCCGCUGCUUUCCCAGUCAGGAUGUCCCAGACCAACCCCACCUUAGCCAGGUUGUCCUUGACGAUGGUCUCAAGGAUCCUAGCUGCCAAUAAGGUCCCUCCUCUGCAGAGAUGGCUGAGAGACCCUGCGGCAUGUGGGACUUACUACUGGACUUGGAGUCAAGGUGUUCCAGGUCGGCUUAAUUUUGGGAAAAGCUGGUGAGAAGCUUGGUCCAAAUCACCUGAAAAGAAAAUCACUUGCAUAGUUCACCUGAAGAACGGAUCUCUAUAAUGGAAUCAAAACACAAUGCUGGACAAAAAUCAAAUAAGCAAAAGCAACAAACUGAAAAGGAAAUGCUGAGUAAAAAAGAACUUAAAAAUUAGAAAAAUAGAAGAAAAAAGAACAAGAAGAACCUGUAACCUCAGCCAAGCCAGGGACUUACAUACGUGCUUGGAAUUCCAAAGCAACAGUUCCUUAUGAGGAAGAACUAAGCCUAGUAGCAAGGCUGAGGAUAAUCUAUGUGACUUUCUCAGGCUUUGGUCUCAAGAACUCUUUACUCUUAAAGAAAAUAUAUUGAGGACCACAAAGAGGAUUUUUUAUUGAUAUUGGUUACAGUUAUGAAUAUUUACCUUAUUAGAAAUUAAAAUCUCUAGGAUGCUUCAAUGGCCUUUUCUAAUUUGAAAAGAUAACAAGCUGGCUGUGGUGGCUCAUGCCUGUAAUUCCAGCACUUUGGGAGGCCAAGGUGGGCAAAUCACCUGAGCUCAGGAGUUUGAGAAAAGGUAUAAAAUGUUUGGCUUUUAAACAGCCCAUAAUAUCUACACUUAAAAUAUUUCAUUUUUUCUUUAAAUUCUAAAUGAUUGGUCUCAAAAUGAUGCCACAACUUAGCUGGCGUUAUGAUAGUGUACAAGUAUGUUCUGUUGUGUAAGACACAAUAAGUUUCAUUAUUACCAUCUGCGACACUGAGGGGAAGAUAGCUUUCAUCAUAUUUUCUUUUUUUUUUUUUUUUUUGAGACGGAGUCUCACUCUGUCGCCCAGGCUGGAGUGCAGUGGCGCAAUUUCGGCUCACUGCAAGCUCCGCCUCCCGGGUUCACGCCAUUCUCCUGCCUCAGCCUCUCCGAGUAGCUGGGACUACAGGCGCCUGCCACCACACCCGGCUAAUUUUUUGUAUUUUUAGUAGAGACGUGGUUUCACCAUGGUCUCGAUCUCCUGACCUCGUGAUCCGCCCGCCUUGGCCUCCCGAAGUGCUGGGAUUACAAGCGUGAGCCACCACGCCCGGCCAUAUUUUCUCAUUUAAAGUUUUGCCCAAUUUCAUUUGCAUAGAUUCCCCUCUUCCAUGAGCUGCUAUGUCAGCCUCAGUAUCUUUCAAUGUAGAGUUUGCAGCUAUGAGUUGAGAAAGCACAUUUUCUACUCUUUUUGAAGUGAAUAAUCCACUGUGCCCGGUGUACCUCUCCUUCAGCAUAGGAUAGGGACUUCCAGGUACUGGACCCGUCACUGGCACCUCAGGGGAGAGAACCCAGAUGCCCCUACAUGAUUUUUAAAGAUGCUUUAUAUGCAUAAAAGUGCACAAAUCAUCAGCCUACAGCUUGGUGACUGUUCACAUAUUGAACUCAUCUAUUUAUCUAGUAUCCAGGUGAAGAAAGAGCCAUUACAGCCCCCCAAGAUCCCACAUCCCUUUUCCAGGCACUUUCUCUGCAGUGAUAACCACUCUUCUGUAUUUUGACAGCAUAGAUUCAUUUUGCUUAUUUUUGAACUUUACAUACAUGGAUUCAUACAGUAUUGGAUCCUUUGUGUCUGCUUCCUUUGCUUAAUUUGUUUUUUGUUUGUUUGUUUUUUUGAGACAGAGUCUUGCUCUUGUUGCCCAGGCUGGAGUGCAAUGGCACGAUCUCAGAUCACUGCAACCUCCACCUCCUGGGUUCAAGCAAUUCUCCUGCCUCAGCCUCCCAAGUAGCUGGGAUUAUAGGGGCCUGCCACCAUGCCUGGCUAAUUUUUGUAUUUUUAGUUGAGACGGGGUUUCGCCAUGUUGGCCAGGCUGGUCUCGAACUCCUGACCUCAUGAUCCACCUGCCUCAGCCUCCCAAAGUGCUGGAAUUAUACGUAUGAACCACUGCGCCUGGUUCUUUGCUCAAUAUUUUUGUGAGAUCCAUCCAUAUUGUUUAUUAUUCUAAAUGCUCAUUGUGUGACUGUAACACAAUUUGUUAAUUUGUUUAUUCAUUUUACUGUUACUGGGCAGUUGAGUAGUUCUCAGUUUUCAGAUGUUAUAGUGCUGCCAUAAACAUUCUUGUUCAGGUUUUUGGGGGACAUAUGUAUGGCUUUCUGUUGGAUAUAUAUAAAUAUAUUCAGGGUAUGGCUGAACAACCACUUGACAGUUUAUGCUAACAAGGUGACUCAUGGUAGGCCCCUUAGGCCAGGUGAUAUCAGCCUGACCUCCAGAGAGUGGGGUGGGGGCUGGAGACUGAGUUCAACCACAUGGACAAUAAGUCUAUCAUUCAUACCUUAUGUAAUGAAGCCCCAAUAAAAACUCGAUGCUGAAGCUCAGGUGAGUGUCCCUGAUUGGCAGUACUCUAUAUGUGUUGUCUCACACAUCCAAAUCAGCAGGGUAAUGCAUUCUGAGGACCCCAGAGGCUUCACAUUUGGAACCCUCUCAGACUCUGCUCUAUGAAUCUCUUUCUUUGGCUAAUUUUGAUCUCUAUCCUUUCCCUGAAAUAAACUGUAACUGUGAGUAUAACA